rnacentral:rRNA from 1 species
UACGGGGGGAGCAAGCGUUGUUCGGAUUUACUGGGCGUAAAGGGCGGGUAGGCGGCCACCGCAAGUCAGUUGUGAAAUCUCUGGGCUUAACCCAGAAAGGUCAACUGAUACUGCGGGGCUAGAGUGCAGAAGGGGCAACUGGAAUUCUCGGUGUAGCGGUGAAAUGCGUAGAGAUCAGGAAGAACACCAGUGGCGAAGGCGCUCUGCUAGGCCGUAACUGACACUGAGGGACGAAAGCUAGGGGAGCGAAUGGG